rnacentral:rRNA from 1 species
CAGUAGCCGCGGGAAUACGAAGGGGGCUGGCGUUGCUCGGAAUGACUGGGCGUAAAGGGCGCGUAGGCGGCGGCCAAAGUCAGGCGUGAAAUUCCCGGGCUCAACCUGGGGGCUGCGUUUGAUACUUGGUUGCUUGAGUGGGGAAGAGGGUCGUGGGAUUCCCAGUGUAGAGGUGAAAUUCGUAGAUAUUGGGAAGAACACCGGUGGCGAAGGCGGCGACCUGGUCCUUUACUGACGCUGAGGCGCGAAAGCGUGGGGAGCAAACAGGAUUAGAUACCCGCGUAGUCCCUGUCUCUUAUAA